UACAGAGGGGGCAAGCGUUGUUCGGAAUUACUGGGCGUAAAGGGCGCGUAGGCGGCCCGCUAAGUCGAACGUGAAAUCCCCGAGCUCAACUCGGGAACUGCGUCCGAUACUGGCGGGCUUGAAUCCGGGAGAGGGAUGCGGAAUUCCAGGUGUAGCGGUGAAAUGCGUAGAUAUCAAGAGGACCACCUGAGGUGAAGACGGGUUGCUGGGCUGACACUGACGCUGACAGCGCGAAAGCUAGGGGAGCAAACGGG
rnacentral:rRNA from 1 species